rnacentral:rRNA from 1 species
AUGGCUGGAUCGAUGGGGUUCCGGAUCCAUGUCGGGCGACGACGUCUCCAGAUACUGUGGCCUCGUUCGGGCUCCUCGGUGCCUCGGGGGUCCCCGUCCGGUAGAGCUCUUCCUGCCCAGAAUCCUGCGUGCGGAAGGACGGGGUCGGCGCGGGACGAUGUGGAGAUCAGCUCCGACGAGGAGGACUCUCGCCCCGCCCCCGUGGCAAGGAAAUUGCCUUGCGCUGAUGCUGUGUUGAAGAGGGGCGAGUCGGACGGCGCCGGUGUUGCCACAGAUGACGACGACUGCGUGGUUCUAGACGGCGACCCUGAUGGGGCGGUUGCCGCUGUGGAACAGAAGGGGGCUGCGGGGAACGAUGUCAACUCCGAUGAACUGCAGAUAGUUGCAGAGAAAGGCCAGGUAGCAUGCAGGGACUUCCCUCACUCGCGCCAUUUAUGUUCUAACUUGCCCUUCGGCACUACUUCUCAUGAGAAGCAUUGUACCAUGUGCUACUGUUUUGUGUGUGACGUCCGAGCUCCGUGCGAUUAUUGGGGUAAAGGUCUCUCGAUUGAUGAUCAUUGUCAUGCUACUGAUAAGGAAACUAAGUGGAAAACAUUGAGGCUUGCGUCCAAGUGCAAAGGGCUUCCAGCAUCUCAUCCAGAAAAGGAAAAUGCAGUGUACCCAGCAAUGGCGGCAGUCGGCUGCCCUUCUCUUGGCAAUCGGAGUCCUCUUCAGAAUGUUGUGAAUCAAAACCAGCAAAUACAUACUUCAAUUAGAACCGCACUGAAUGUAGCCCCAACUGUCAGUGCACCAAGAGCAUUCCCUGCGACAAGAGCUGAAGGUAGCACAGGCAGUGCUCACACUUCUCAAGUUACUUAUUCUGUAGCGCCAACUGUCAGUGUACCAAGGCCACACCCUGCGGCAAGAACUGGAAGAGGUUCAAACAACGCUCACACUUCUCAAGUUACUUAUCCUGUAGCUGCUCCAACUGUCAGUGCACCAAGGCCACAGCCCGUGGCAAAAACUGGAAGAGGUUUAAACAACGCUCACAAUGCACAAAUUACUCACCCUGUACAGCCAACUGUCAGUGCACCAAGAGCUUACCCUGCGGCAAUAGCUGAAAGAGGCAAUGCUCAAACCGCUCAACUUACUUACCAGGCCACUGCCAGCCACCACCUGCCGGAGCCAGAGCCGGACCAGUAUGAAGAGUACUGGGAGGACACACCAGAGGAAUAUGCGUCAGAGUGGUCCACAGUGUAUGUCGGGAACCUACCCUACCACACUGACGACGACUCUCUCGCACUGAAUUUCCAGCAUGCCGGAGUCGUUGUUUUCUCAGAGGUCAUUUACGAUGACAAAACGGGCCAGAGCCGUGGAUUUGGGUAUGUCACCAUAAGUACUGUUCAGGAGGCUGAGAAGGCUGUUAGAAUGUACCAUGGAUACGUGAGUAUUUUCUGUAGCUUCAUGGGGGCUUCUGUAGCUUCAUACGCGAUAUAUGGCAGUGUCAGACCUCUGACGGUAUAUAUCACAGCUCCCCGUCAAUCUGGGUCUCCGUUCGAAAUCUUCGUGUGCAAUCUGCCGUGGCAAGUGGACGACUCAUGGUUGGAGAAGCUGUUCAGCGCGCACGGCGAAGUGGUUGAUGCUAGAGUAGUCUACUAUGAGCGCAGAGGAGGGACCAGGCGUUCAAGGGGAUUUGGUUUUGUCACAAUGGCGACGGAGGAGCAAUCGUACUACGCGAUCAAUUCUCUCAACAAGCAGGUUCUGGAGGGACGUACCCUGCGGGUGAAGGUUUCGAGGGAGAGUCCACAACAAGGCUAUUGA